rnacentral:lncRNA from 1 species
GGGAGGUCUGGGAAAAAAGAGAGGGAAAAAGGACGUUGAUGAAGAGAAUGGACGUUUUUACAUUAGGAUGGUUGGUAAAGAAAUUAUAGAAGAAGACGACAGAACUAGAACAAAACCCAUACCUACUAGGAUAUGAAGGGAAAUACAUGUUUUAUUUUAUAAAAGAGUUGUUAUAAUUUUGUUAAAACUUAGUACAGACUGAAGCUACCGUCUCGUCGUGGAGGUAUUUGUCAGCAUUGAGGUUAGCCUAGCAUCGUGUGACACGGGGAGAUAAUUGCUUGGGAAGCUUAACGAGUUCGUGUUCCCAUGGGAUAUCGGUUACGGCUAAGGAGUACUGUCUGCAUGGGUAGCUGUGCUUGCCUUGGACUUUGUGAGGAAACCUGCAUGGAACUGCCAUACUUCGCUGAGGGAAUAUCUACCAAGCAGACCUGAGCCCUAGGACCAUGCCUCAGGACUACCUGGUAUGAUGACUCCUUGCUGUCCCCAGUCCACCUGGCCGUGCUGCUGCUCCAGUUUCAACUGUUCUGCCUGUGGCUAUGGAACCCUGACCUGUUCACCGGACGUGCUUGUUGCACCCUCGACAACUACUAUGAUUAUUAUUAAUUGACCAUGCUGGUCAUUUAUGAACAUUUUAACAUCUUGACCAUGUUCUGUUAUAAUAUCCACCCUGCACAGCCAGAAGAGGACUGGCCACUCCUCAUAGCCUGGUUCCUCUCUAGGUUUUUUGGCCUUUCUAGAGAGUUUUUCCUAGGGAGUUUUUCCUAGCCACUGUGCUUCUUUCACAUGCAUUGCUUGCUGUUUGGGGGUUUAGGCUGGGUUUCUGUACAGCACUUUGAGAUAUCAGCUGAUGUACGAAGGGCUAUAUAAAAAAAUUUUGAUUUGAUUUGAUAACAUCUAUAAUGACAUCACAAAAUGCUAAAUGAUAUGACAGGAUUAUUGUUUGGAUCACCACCAACCAUUCCAAAAGUUUGGAUUCCAAAACUAAUGUUCAUGUAUCCAAUCUUCUGAUGUUGAAGUUUUGGCGACAUGGUCUCUCUGUGUAACAUUCAAACAUUCCAUUCUCAAUACUGCAGAGCCCCAAAGAGAGAAAGUUUACGACCGGCGUUAAGUCAUAAAACUGGC